UACGGAGGGUGCAAGCGUUAAUCGGAAUUACUGGGCGUAAAGCGUGCGCAGGCGGUUUGUUAAGUCCGCUGUGAAAUCCCCGAGCUCAACUUGGGAAUUGCAGUGGAUACUGGCAGGCUGGAGUACGGUAGAGGAAGGUGGAAUUCCCGGUGUAGCAGUGAAAUGCGUAGAGAUCGGGAGGAACACCAGUGGCGAAGGCGACACGCUGGGCCGUACCUGACGCUGAUACGCGACAGCAUGGGGAGCGAACGGG
rnacentral:rRNA from 1 species